GUAGGGAAUCUUGCGCAAUGGGCGAAAGCCUGACGCAGCCAUGCCGCGUGAAUGAUGAAGGUCUUAGGAUUGUAAAAUUCUUUCACCGGGGACGAUAAUGACGGUACCCGGAGAAGAAGCCCCGGCUAACUUCGUGCCAGCAGCCGCGGUAAUACGAAGGGGGCUAGCGUUGCUCGGAAUUACUGGGCGUAAAGGGAGCGUAGGCGGAUAGUUUAGUCAGAGGUGAAAGCCCAGGGCUCAACCUUGGAAUUGCCUUUGAUACUGGCUAUCUUGAGUAUGGAAGAGGUAUGUGGAACUCCGAGUGUAGAGGUGAAAUUCGUAGAUAUUCGGAAGAACACCAGUGGCGAAGGCGACAUACUGGUCCAUUACUGACGCUGAGGCUCGAAAGCGUGGGGAGCAAACAGGAUUAGAAACCCCUGUAGUCC
rnacentral:rRNA from 1 species